AUUGAACGCUGGCGGCAGGCCUAACACAUGCAAGUCGAGCGGGACGGCGGACGGAUGGGUAAGGACUGGGAAUCUGCCUGGUAGUGGGGGAUAGCGUCCGGAAGCGGGCGCUAAUACCUAAUGCUAUCAGACGAGCCUAGGUCGGAUUAGCUAGUUGGUGGGGUAAAGGCCUACCAAGGCGACGAUCCGUAACUGGUCUGAGAGGAUGAUCAGUCACACUGGAACUGAGACACGGUCCAGACUCCUACGGGAGGCAGCAGUGGGGAAUAUUGGACAAUGGGCGAAAGCCUGAUCCAGCCAUGCCGCGUGUGUGAAGAAGGUCUUCGGAUUGUAAAGCACUUUAAGUUGGGAGGCGUUACCAACAGAAUAAGCACCGGCUAACUUCGUGCCAGCAGCCGCGGUAAUUC
rnacentral:rRNA from 1 species